CUAGUAAUCGCGCAUCAGCCACGGCGCGGUGAAUACGUUCCCGGGCCUUGUACACACCGCCCGUCAAGCCAUGGGAGCCGGGGGUACCUGAAGUGCGUAACCGCGAGGAGCGCCCUAGGGUAAAACUGGUGACUGGGGCUAAGUCGUAACAAGGUAUC
rnacentral:rRNA from 1 species